rnacentral:rRNA from 1 species
AAAAGCUCGUAGUCGGAUUUCUGGUCGAAGCGACCGGUCCGCCUCGAAAGGGGUGCGUACUGGUGUCGCCUUUGGCCAUCCUCGUGAAAAACUAUUCUGGCAUUAGCUUGUCGGAUUUGUGAUUCGCGUCUUUUACUGUGAAAAAAUUAGAGUGUUUAAAGCAGGCUUAGGCCGUUGAAUACAUUAGCAUGGAAUAAUAACAUAGGACUUUGAUGUUCUAUUUGUUGGUUUAUGCAUCAAGGUAAUGAUUAAUAGGGAUAGUUGGGGGUAUUCGUAUUCCAUUGUCAGAGGUGAAAUUCUUGGAUUUAUGGAAGACGAACUACUGCGAAAGCAUUUACCAAGGAUGUUUUCAUUGAUCAAGAACGAAAGUUAGGGGAUCGAAGAUGAUUAGAUACCAUCGUAGUCUUAACCAUAAACGAUGCCAACUGGGGAUCGGUGGACGUUACUUUUAUGACUCCAUCGGCACCCUAUGAGAAAUCAAAGUCUUUGGGUUCCGGGGGGAGUAUGGUCGCAAGGCUGAAACUUAAAGGAAUUGACGGAAGAGCACCGCAAGGAGUGGAGCCUGCGGCUUAAUUUGACUCAACACGGGAAAACUUACCAGGUCCAGACAUAGUGAGGAUUGACAGAUUGAGAGCUCUU